UACGUAGGUGGCAAGCGUUGUCCGGAUUUAUUGGGUUUAAAGGGUGCGUAGGCGGCAUUUUAAGUCAGUGGUGAAAUACUUCAGCUUAACUGGAGAGGUGCCAUUGAUACUGGGAUGCUUGAGUACUGAUGAGGUAGGCGGAAUGGACGGUGUAGCGGUGAAAUGCGUAGAUAUCUGGAGGAACACCGGUGGCGAAGGCGGCGUUCUGGACUGCAACUGACACUGAGGAACGAAAGCCAGGGGAGCAAACGGG
rnacentral:rRNA from 1 species